rnacentral:rRNA from 1 species
CUUUACUGUAGCCUGGAAUUGUGUCCGGGCUUCGCUUGCGCAGGAUAGGUGGGAGGCUAUGAGGCAAUGCUUGUGGGCAUUGCGGAGCCAACGGUGAGAUACCACUCUGUUAAGGCUAGAAUUCUAACUUGUUGCCGUUAUCCGGCACGAGAACAGUUUCAGGUGGGCAGUUUGACUGGGGCGGUCGCCUCCUAAAUGGUAACGGAGGCGCGCAAAGGUUCUCUCAGGCUGGUUGGAAAUCAGCCGUAGAGUGUAAAAGCACAAGAGAGCUUGACUGUGAGAGAAACACCUCGAGCAGGGACGAAAGUCGGCUUUAGUGAUCCGACGGCGCUGCGUGGAAAGGCCGUCGCUAAACGGAUAAAAGUUA